AUUGGAUGCCGUCGAAAGAUUUCAAGUAAAUGUUAUAGCCUUCUUUAGCAUCAGUUUGAUAGCAUCCGUGACCCACCACAUGUUUGAUAAAUUGACUAAACAAGUUUUUCAUUGCUUGCCAUAUGGAUUUGCUCUCUAGUUUACUCAAUUCUUCCAAGCAGCUUGCCCUUUAGAUUUUUGCCAAGGCUCUGCCUUCUUUUCUUGAAAUUAAUUUUAUAAACUAAUCUUGAGUUGAAUAGAGAACUGAAAUACUGCAACAUGGUUGAAAGUGUCUUUAUGUUUUCUCUUCGGAUCUUUAGUUUGAACAUGCAUUUUCUGUUUGAGAUAUUUAGCUAUUUUUGUCUCAGACCAUUGCCUGAUGAAGCAGUAGCUUGGCAACUCUUGUCAUGUGAUAUUAUUGUUUGUUCAUUAAGUAUUUAUGCAUGAUAUAUAUUGAGUGAAGACAAUAUGUAAAGUUGUUUCUUGCCUUUUAAAAAGUUUGGACACUCUCACAGUCUCACUUCACUUAGGAAGCCACUUUGUCUAUUUUUAUUCAAAUACUGAUCAAAGAUUUGGAUAUUACAAUUACAAGAAUGAGGAAAAAAAGAUGUUGCUUAUAGAAAAGCAUAAGGAAGCUUCUACUAUUUGGUGUCAAGCUGAUACUUCCAGGGCUCAUGUUACAUUUAUGUUAAAUUGGAGAAUGACAUAAGCAGGGCUAAUCUUACAUUUAUGUUAGUGUUGUUCUAAUUUCAUUAGUGCUAUUAGACCUACUUGUGGAUGUGUUUGUACAACCAAAAUAUCUCAUAAGUUUAAUUUGACAAAAUUAAUAGGCGACAGAGACAUUUUAGAUGGUUGGGACAAAGUACAUUAUACUAUGAAAUUUGUUCUAUUCUUUUUCCCAAUUUCUCGUUGCACAAGGUACAAAGACAGUGAUGAAGUGUACACAUUUUAUAAAUUCCAGUGGUUAGUUUAAUUUCUAAUGACUUUAGUUUUCACUGGGUCUUUGUCUAGCAACGUUGUUCAUUAGGGUCACUAGAAUACUACUGACAGGAAAUGGUAAAACUCUUGGUUCUAAUAUUUGUCUAGCUUUUCCCCUCUUGUUUUGUCCUUAUUUCAAUUACUAUUAGUCUUUCUUCUUUUUUUUUUCCAAUUGCUAUUAAAUGUUAUGUAAGUCCAAUGAAAUAAAUAUAUGUUCACUACACACUAGUGCACAUUUAACUUCAUAAAUUGAAAUCUUACAACAAGAUAUAGAUGAAAAUCAUUAUUCUGAUUAACAUGAUUGACCAAAACCAUGUACUUGUAUUCAACAUAUACUUGUAGCUCUAAUUUUGGAAUUAUUUAUCAUCGCUAAAUGUCUAAAUUUGUAUUACUGAAUUCUUUAAUAAAACUUUACAUAAAUCCUCAUGACUUGUGUUUACUCUUCUAAGUUAUUAGUGCAUAGUUAUCUUUGUGACUUAAGGGUCAAUCUAACAUUGCUUACUACUAGAAAAGUUACCUUUAAUGACAUACCUAAUCUAACAUUUGGUUCUCUUUUAAUCAUGAGCCUACCUAAAUAUUUGUCAUGAAUAUGCAUUCACAGAAACUAUGUUUUAUCUUGGUGACACACCUUUGGGAUUGCAUUGGUGUGAAAUCAGUGUGAAUGUGUUUGUGGAGAGUGAUGAAGAGCUGAUGAGGCCAUACCAUAAUUUUCGCAAGAUUGGAGAUGCAAUUGGAGUGGCCAUUACUUGGCCAAUAAACUUGGUAAUCUUUUCUCUAACUUAGUUUUUAUUUGUUUUCUAAGAUUAAAACUGUAAAAGAAGAGCUGUGUGAUUGGUAACUCCAAUUGCUUGGUUUAUGACACAUGUAGGUGAAUCUUGAAGAAAACUAAAUGAUCCCUGGAUCAAAUGGCUAUUUUUUGAAGACAUUGUUAAUGCUAUUUAGUCGAGUUCCUGUCAAGCUACUGCUUCCUUUAUAUAUAUUGACAAUGCUACUGCAAUACUCCUCACUAGUGGAAAAUCUCUGAAUUAGCAUGUAAUUUAUUGACAUAGUUUUAAGGUGAGUUGCUUAGAUGAUAUAUUUUUGUACCAGUUUGGAUUAUUGUGUUGUAUUAGUUACUACGAAGAUGUAAAUAACUUUGGUUUUCCUUUA
rnacentral:lncRNA from 1 species